rnacentral:misc_RNA from 1 species
ACGUACCAAAACUCUACGAGUACGAAAAAGAAAUGAGAGGAGUCCAGGGGGUGCUCGCCUUCCUAACCAGUCGGCUUCACCACGAGAGGGUGCCUGUUCUCCAAAACAAAACGAACCCUGAAGUGAAAUAUAUAAAAUGAUGCCAAGACCGGUCGCCUUCCUAGCAAGUCGGCAAGUACCGUCUCAGGCAGUGCCCUUACCAAAACGAACCGAAAGACGAGAAACGUAAAACGAACCUCACUUAGUGUGGCACAAAGUCUAGUCUCUGCGUUACGUGUGAAUGUGAUACACCAAGCGCAAAAAGAGACUAGCGCACAGAGAGAUGGCCGUCUCGUACGGUCAGACGAAGUUACGGUAACUAAAAUAAUCGCUGUGCUUCCAAGUUCUUCGAAGGCGCAACGCCAAUGGAGGCAUACGGAAGUUAAAAUGCGAUCGUUAGCAAUGCGCUUGUUCAAGCGCGCCGUAGCGACUCUGUGGUCGCCCCCACGUGCUUCUUUGGCAGAGAUGGCGCGUGUGGGAACCACCCGGAAAGGCUCUUCACGAGCUUGCCCGGUGUGGAGCUUCAGGACGUUUCGGCCUGCUUCGAAUUGACUAUAGCUUUGCUCGUCAUGACUGCUACUUUGCGGCGCGGCAAUGUUCCGCAAUGCCUCUCAGUACGGCGGUUUACGGAUGGGGAAAAGAGUGCCUACUACCUGCGGGAAACAGCCUCCAAGUACUCUGAAGUUUCGAAGCACGGCUAAUGUUCCUACUCGGACGAUAGCCUCAAUCUACCCUUGUUCGUGGACUGCGGCAGAAAUGCGGGUCUUACACGUUCA